rnacentral:lncRNA from 1 species
GAUUGACUUCUUCUCCUUCAAUCGGGGCUGCUCUGUGAUUUUCAAAGUAUUAAUAUGGGAGUCCUUCAAAAUCUCUUCUAUGUGCUGGUGAAUACCAGUGGAAUGCAACUUCUUUUGCUUUAGAAGACAAGCUCUUAGCAAUGUCAAGUUUCCAGAAGACACCUGUUCUGGCAGGUGAGAAACUGAUAGCGAUGUGC